CCCUGCCAUUUGUACACACCGCCCGUCGCUCCUACCGAUUGGGUGUGCUGGUGAAGUGUUUGGAUCGGUAUCAAUGGGGGGCAACCUCUGUUGGUACUGAGAAGAACAUUAAACCCUCCCACCUAGAGGAAGGAGAAGUCGUAACAAGGUUUCCGUAGGUGAACCUGCAGAAGGG
rnacentral:rRNA from 1 species